GCGGUCGUGGUGGAAUUGGCAGACACGUACGUUUGAGGGGCGUAUGCGCGAGCGUACCGGUUCAAGUCCGGUCGACCGCACCA
rnacentral:tRNA from 1 species